GGAGAAGUGACCGAGUGGCCGAAGGUGCUCGCCUGCUAAGCGAGUGUAUGGGGAAACUUGUACCGAGAGUUCGAAUCUCUCCUUCUCCG
rnacentral:tRNA from 1 species